rnacentral:lncRNA from 1 species
UCCGCCGUUCCUCCGCCAUCUCUCGGCGGGCCGGCUAUCCCGCUGUCGGCUGGCGCCCAGCCGGAAGCUCCUCCCUCCCUCCUCGUCGGCGAUGCUAGAAGGGUUCCACUGCGAUAGGCGGCGCAUCCACAAUACGCACACCAUCUUCGUCGUCAUCCCUCCAGUCCUUCAAGAUCACAUCGGGGCAGGACUGACCGGCUGGCCUAGACCCGCCAGCCGCGGGUCGGCCGGUGCCUCCACCUCAUCCUCCUCCUCUGCUUCCAGCACCUUCGAGCCCCCGGAGGCGUCGGAGUCAUAUUCGUCCAUCCCGUAAUCGAUACUGUCGGAUUCCAUGCGGUCGUCCACCUGAUUCUGCGUGUUUGGGUCGUCCGGCAUCAGGUGCCGCUAAAAAGCUAAAAAGGUAGCAGUCGACCACGCAUGAGUCGACAUGUCAGAAAAGUAAAGGAAAACAAUAGUGUCGAAACUUACCCCAAUGCGGGAAAGUUGUGGCAGAACGGCUCCUUGUCGAACCACGAGUCGUCCACCCACAGCUUGAAGCCUCUGAUGGCGUUCACCCGGGCAGAUAUCUUGG